rnacentral:lncRNA from 1 species
GUGGCGACAGAGACCCGAGCCCAGGCAGCCAGGCCUUGCCUCCAGCUCAGCGUGGAGAGCACCUUCCGGCUACCGGGCGCUGGACAGCGCCUGGCCAGGUGCGCACUUCUGCAGGUGUCCCUGCUGCCCUGCUCCAGGUUUCUUGGAGGGAAGCUGGCGGUAAGGGGUGAAGAGUUGGGGUCUGAAAUGUAGGGACCAGAGCAGUACAGUCAGAGGAUGGAGAGAGAGAGAGAAAGAGAGAAGGAAGCACUUGUCUCAGGGAUGUGCUUCUGAUAUAGGAUGUAGUUUGCAGUCCGGGAGCUGGCCAGUUUGGUGGGGCUUUUAAGGGGAAGAAGGGGCUCCGCCAUCGUGCUGGUUAUCUUGAAGAAAACCUGUGGAAGAGUUUCUGGGAUGCAGCUUUGGUACUCCGGAGACGACGCCCACAGGUAUAUGAUGAAGAGGGUCCUUCACCACCACCUUGAUAUCCCAACGCAAAUGGUUUGUGCCUCCACCCACCCCCAGAUGCACUUCAGACUUGGGGCUCCUGAGAGAGGAACUUAACCCUUAUUCCCAAGAACAGUAGACAGGGAAAAUCCUCAAGGACAGGGUGGGCCAGAUAGAGUAAAGGCUUUCUUAGGUUUACAUUAUGUUUGAUCAGAACAAAGCUAUUGGCAACAAAUGCUGUUCCCUGCUAGACAGAAAGCAAGCACAUCCCACGGUUGGUGCUUAAAAUGAAAAGAAACCAAAAUAAUUAUCACUUUGGUAACAAUAAGCAACCUAGAACAUUGCAGGUGUACUCUGGCUAAAGGUGUUGUGAACAUUGUGGAACGAACUAAACAGCUGUGAGCCACUUCUGCCCAAAGAGGCAUAAAGCUUCAUCAAAAUAAGUGACAUGCUCCCACAGCGUUCUUUUCUUUCUUUCGUGCCUGAUUUCAUUCUUGCUUAGUUUCUUUGGCUCUUCAUGAGUGACCCAUCCUCUGUCGGGCUCCCUGCUCAGCCUCCCUAAAGCCACUGUGCUCACAAAUCCAAAAAGUUUCACAGGUACCUUCAUUGUGUCUUAAAAUGGCUUUUGGAAAUGUCAGUAUGUAAAACAAGUGACACAUGGUGUAAGAGAAUGCACGUGACUUCUUUAUGCAAUUAUACAGAGCACUUGCUUUUCUUAUGUGUUGUCUGUCCAAGAUGGUGACUCAGUCUCUGUCUCUGUCUCUGUGUUUCUCUCUGUCUCUGUGUCUCUCUUUGUCUCUCUAUCCUUCUAUCUCUGUUACUCUUCCUGCGUCUUUCUCUCCCUCCUUCCCUUCCACCCUACCUUUCCUUCUUCCUCCCUUCCUCUUUUACUCUCUCCCUCUUCUCCCCUCCUCCCUUUCCUUUUCCUCCUUUCCUUUUCCUAGACUCCCUCUGCUUCCCUUCUUUCCUCCUCCCAGUAUCUCCUUUGUACAAAUGGACCCUACUCAGUCCUGUCUCAGUCCCUUCCAGUUAAUGUUCUAUAAUGGUUUUACAUGAACUUUGUAAGGCAGCCUCUGACUACCAACAGGGAGUUGGUGCUGACUGGUAAAGAGGGAUGCUGGGACUCAAGGAUACAGCUCCGUUUCCUGUCAUCACUAGGUCAUUACAUAUGCUAUUCUACUCAAUGCCAAGUGGCAGCCGAAAUGAUUUCCUCUCUGCUAUCCAUAAUCAUAUCUUUAUCCUCCCCUUGGAAACAUAAUUAAUAAUAAAAGAUAUAAUGCGUCUUGAAACCAUGGGAAGAACAGAUGGAUGUUGCUAUGAUGUUAGCCACCUUCUCCACUCCUGCUGCUGACAGUGUGGCCACUUUCCCCUUUGUUCAGCCGCUUCUAUUGGGUUAAGCGAAGCAUUUGGCCCUUCUACUGUGUUCUCCUUCCACCUAUCCCCUGACAAUAGUUUGUGUAUUUUAAAUAAAGAUUUCAUUCUGCCAACCCGCAGGAAGCUUUUAACAAGAUGCAGCUGAGCGUGUCGAUAUCUUACAUCUUUUUACUGCUGUUUGGGUUGCUCAGCUACUUGAAGCUGCUCACUGCCUCAGACAAACACUGGCACCUUCCAGAGACAAUGUUCCCUGGCUUGAUUUACGCUCAUUGUUACAACUAUCCUUUGGUGCCCUCUGGAAGUACACAGGACAUUGCAAGUAAAGGAAGAGAGUGGGUGUUGAAGUGAAGCACUGUUCUGCCUCUUUCCACUGAAAGCACCAUAUAUAUAUUCACUGUGAAUAGCUCUAUGUAAUGAUUUUGUUAAUGAUUAUUGUUGUGAACAUGGGACUGAAAAUGGAUUAUGGUUCUUAAGUUGACUGUACCAAGUCUUGGGAGUUAAAUGUGUUCAUCUACCUAUCUGUUAAAUCUGGAAUAUUUACUAGGAUUUAUAAUUUCAUUGAAAAAGCAGAUUUAUAUGUCUUUAUUAAGCAAUUGGUGGAUAUUUUCUUUAAAAAUGUUUAAAUUGACUGUCAAUUAACCAUGUGUUUAAAAAAAAAACAAAAAACAAAAACAAAAAACAUGAGGUGAAAUUGAAAUCAACAAAACAGACAAUGAGAAGAGGAGAAAGAGCAGGGCCUGGAAUGUAAGCCCAUACAAAGAUUAUCUUUAUCUGACAAUGUUUCUUCAUUUACUAAAUAUUAAUUUCACUUUGUUGUAUUUAAGCUUAUAAUUGGUUUGACUAGUCUGCUUUAAGAGGAAGAAAUCUCUAAAUUUACAUUUGGAUUUUAGAUUUUGGAGUAAAUACCACGUUCCAGCUUCAGUUUUUAAAUUAGGCUUAGCAAGGCUUCAGUAGCAAAUCUACAGCAAUGAUUUCCUGUUUUAAUAUGUUCUUUAAAUAUUUUAAUAGCAUCAUGAGGAAACUUCUUAAUUAUACAGCACUUCGUAUUGUAGAAUUUAGUAGACUGGGGAAGAAAGCAAAUAGCAGGGUAGUUAUAAAGCUAGGAAGAGCAGAAAGCCUGUUGAGAGGAAGUGUGUGUUUGCAGAGGAGACCUGAUGCCUCUCCAGCUCACCCACUACAGUCAUCCACUGACUUCUUCUGUGGUUUAUUUACCCGAAGGUAGCCACAGUCUAAAAAUGUCUGUAUUUGUCAGGACCAUUUCAAGAGAGGAACCAUGUUGAAAUAACUUUUCUAAAAGUAUAUUUUAUAAUUGUUUGAUUAUUG